UACGAAGGGGGCUAGCGUUGCUCGGAAUCACUGGGCGUAAAGCGCACGUAGGCGGCUUUUUAAGUCAGGGGUGAAAUCCUGGAGCUCAACCCCGGAACUGCCUUUGAUACUGGUAGUCUCGAGUCCGGAAGAGGUGAGUGGAAUUCCGAGUGUAGAGGUGAAAUUCGUAGAUAUUCGGAGGAACACCAGUGGCGAAGGCGGCUCACUGGUCCGGUACUGACGCUGAGGUGCGAAAGCGUGGGGAGCAAACAGG
rnacentral:rRNA from 1 species